GUUGACCUCAAAUCAGGUAAGACUACCCGCUGAACUUAAGCAUAUCAAUAAGCGGAGGAAAA
rnacentral:rRNA from 1 species